rnacentral:rRNA from 1 species
UACGUAGGGGGCAAGCGUUGUCCGGAAUUAUUGGGCGUAAAGAGCUCGUAGGCGGCUUGUCACGUCGGGUGUGAAAGCCCGGGGCUUAACCCCGGGUCUGCAUUCGAUACGGGCAGGCUAGAGUGUGGUAGGGGAGAUCGGAAUUCCUGGUGUAGCGGUGAAAUGCGCAGAUAUCAGGAGGAACACCGGUGGCGAAGGCGGAUCUCUGGGCCAUUACUGACGCUGAGGAGCGAAAGCGUGGGGAGCGAACAGG